rnacentral:rRNA from 1 species
CAGUAGCCGCGGUAAUACGUAGGUCCCGAGCGUUGUCCGGAUUUAUUGGGCGUAAAGCGAGCGCAGGCGGUAAGAUAAGUCUGAAGUUAAAGGCUGUGGCUUAACCAUAGUACGCUUUGGAAACUGCUUAACUUGAGUGCAGAAGGGGAGAGUGGAAUUCCAUGUGUAGCGGUGAAAUGCGUAGAUAUAUGGAGGAACACCGGUGGCGAAAGCGGCCCUCUGGUCUGUAACUGACGCUGAGGCUCGAAAGCGUGGGGAGCAAACAGGAUUAGAUACCCCGGUAGUCCCUGUCUCUUAUACA